GAAUCUAAGAGACCAGUAAAAGAUAACCUUAUGAUACAUUAUGUGCUGUUGCAUUUCUACUCUUUCCGGAUGCGAAAGUGGAUAUUGACUUCAUAAAUUCAACACUACUUGACUUUGAUUGACAGAUUUCACAUGCCAUGUUCUGUGUGCUUCAAGAUCCGUAAAAUAGGUUUAAAGGAUCUAUGAAUGGCAAAACUGUUGACUUGAAGACCAACUAGAGAAGGUUCAAGAAUGCUAUGGCAAUUGUCAUGAUGUGUCCACUGUGCAUUUUCCUUCUGGCUCCCCGACCUUCUCAGAUGUUUCAGAUAAGAGUUUUUGUUAGCUAAUAGAUCAAGUUGUAUUAUGGAAACCAUUGCAGUCUAAUUUCAUCUGUG
rnacentral:lncRNA from 1 species